AACGAACGCUGGCGGCAGGCCUAACACAUGCAAGUCGAGCGCGCCCUUCGGGGUGAGCGGCGGACGGGUGAGUAACGCGUGGGAACGUGCCCUUUUCUACGGAAUAGCCUCGGAAACUGAAAGUAAUAACGGAUACGCCCUUUGGGGGAAAGAUUUAUCGGAAAAGGAUCGGGCCGCGUUGGAUUAGGUAGUUGGUGGGGUAAUGGCCUACCAAGCCGACGAUCCAUAGCUGGUUUGAGAGGAUGAUCAGGCACACUGGGACUGAGACACGGCCCAGACUCCUACGGGAGGCAGCAGUGGGGAAUCUUAGACAAUGGGGGCAACCCUGAUCGAGCCAUGCCGCGUGAGUGAUGAAGGCCUUAGGGUUGUAAAGCUCUUUCAGCUGGGAAGAUAAUGACGGUACCAGCAGAAGAAGCCCCGGCUAACUCCGUG
rnacentral:rRNA from 1 species